rnacentral:rRNA from 1 species
GACGAACGCUGGCGGCGUGCUUAACACAUGCAAGUCGAGCGGAAAGGCCCUUCGGGGUACUCGAGCGGCGAACGGGUGAGUAACACGUGGGUAACCUGCCCUUCACUCUGGGAUAACUCCGGGAAACCGGGGCUAAUACCGGAUACGACCACUUUAGGCAUCUUCGGUGGUGGAAAGUUUUCGGUUGGAGGAUGGACCCGCGGCCUAUCAGCUUGUUGGUGGGGUAAUGGCCUACCAAGGCAGUGACGGGUAGCCGGCCUGAGAGGGCGACCGGCCACACUGGGACUGAGACACGGCCCAGACUCCUACGGGAGGCAGCAGUGGGGAAGUAUUGCGCAAUGGGCGGAAGCCUGACGCAGCGACGCCGCGUGGGGGAGUGACGGCC